CGAAGCAGCAGUGGGGAAUAUUGCGGCAAUGGGCGGAAGCCUGACGCAGCGACGCCGCGUGGGGGGAAUGACGACUCGGGAUGUAAACCUCUUUCGCCAGGGACGAAGCUAACGUGACGUACCUGGAGAAGAAGCACCGGCCAACUACGUGCCAGCAGCCGCGGUAACACGUAGGGUGCGAGCGUGUCUGGAAUUAUUGGGCGUAAAGAGCUCGUAGGCGGUGUGUCGCGUCGGCCGUGAAAACUUGGGGCUUAACUCUGAGCGUGCGGUCGAUACGGGCAUCACUUGAGUUCGGCAGGGGAGACUGGAAUUCCUGGUGUAGCGGUGAAAUGCGCAGAUAUCAGGAGGAACACCGGUGGCGAAGGCGGGUCUCUGGGCCGAUACUGACGCUGAGGAGCGAAAGCGUGGGGAGCGAACAGGAUUAGAUACCCUGGUAGUCCACGCCGUAAACGUUGGGCGCUAGGUGUGGGGACCAUUCCACGGUUUCUGUGCCGCAGCUAACGCAUUAAGCGCCCCGCCUGGGGAGUACGGCCGCAAGGCUAAAACUCAAAGGAAUUGACGGGGGCCCGCACAAGCGGCGGAGCAUGUGGAUUAAUUCGAUGCAACGCGAAGAACCUUACCUGGGUUUGACAUGCACAGGAUCGCGGCAGAGAUGUCGUUUCCCUUGUGGCCUGUGUGCAGGUGGUGCAUGGCUGUCGUCAGCUCGUGUCGUGAGAUGUUGGGUUAAGUCCCGCAACGAGCGCAACCCUUGUUCCAUGUUGCCAGCACGUAGUGGUGGGGACUCAUGGGAGACUGCCGGGGUCAACUCGGAGGAAGGUGGGGAUGACGUCAAGUCAUCAUGCCCCUUAUGUCCAGGGCUUCACACAUGCUACAAUGGCUCAUACAGAGGGCUGCGAGACCGUGAGGUGGAGCGAAUCCCUUAAAGUGAGUCUCAGUUCGGAUCGGGGUCUGCAACUCGACCCCGUGAAGUUGGAGUCGCUAGUAAUCGCAGAUCAGCAACGCUGCGGUGAAUACGUUCCCGGGCCUUGUACACACCGCCCGUCACGUCACGAAAGUUGGUAACACCCGAAGCCGGCGGCCCAACCCUGUGGGGAGGGAGUCGUCGAAGGUGGGACUGGCGAUUGGGACG
rnacentral:rRNA from 1 species